GCCCCUGUAGCCCAAUGGUAGGGCGUUAGACUUCUAAUCUAAAGGCUGUGGGUUCGAGUCCCACCAGGGGUG